rnacentral:rRNA from 1 species
UACGUAGGGUGCGAGCGUUAAUCGGAAUUACUGGGCGUAAAGCGUGCGCAGGCGGUUCUCCAAGUCCGUUGUGAAAGCCCCGGGCUCAACCUGGGAAUGGCAGUGGAAACUAGGGGACUGGAAUCUGGCAGAGGGGGGUGGAAUGCCGCGUGUAGCAGUGAAAUGCGUAGAGAUGCGGCGGAACACCGAUGGCGAAGGCGGCACUCUGGGCUGGUACUGACGCUGAGGAGCGAAAGCGUGGGGAGCAAACAGG